rnacentral:rRNA from 1 species
CACGUAGGGCGCAAGCGUUUGUCCGGAAUUAUUGGGCGUAAAGAGCUCGUAGGCGGUCUGUUGCGUCUGCUGUGAAAACCCGGGGCUUAACCCCUGGCUUGCAGUGGAUACGGACAGACUAGAGGUAGGUAGGGGAGAAUGGAAUUCCCGGUGUAGCGGUGAAAUGCGCAGAUAUCGGGAGGAACACCGGUGGCGAAGGCGGUUCUCUGGGCCUUACCUGACGCUGAGGAGCGAAAGCGUGGGGAGCGAACAGG